CCAAUUAAACAACCUGACCUACCACUGAAAAGCCUUAAGACACACAAACCACACGCAUGCCUCAACACACACAGCCCUAUGACAACUGUGACAGGGAGUGAGUUCUCUCGAUCAACGAUGACACUUCCGUUUGUCUCCGAGCUCCUCCUUUAUUUACACCCGUUACAUGUGCCUCUGGUGUGUGUGUCUUGUUUUCUCCCUCUGUCUCUCUCUCUCUCUCUCUCUCUCUGUCCCUCGUUCUGCCCUCCUCCCUGUCUGUUGCACACCUGAGCGUAAUCAGUACUCAGGUAGAGUGGGGGAGGUGAUAAGAAGGCAGAGAGUGAAGGGACAGAGGCACAUGGAGAGCACACCAGCAGCACACUAGUGAGGAGUUUCCUCCUCACCUUUUUUCUCCACAAGCAGGGUCGCGGGGACUGGAGCAGAUACCAGCUGACAUUUGGGGGGAACCAGGCUACACCCCCGGCAGGUCGUCAGUCAAUCACUGGGCUGACACAGAGAGACAACCAUGCUCACAUUCACACCUAUUGGCAAUUUAGAGUCAACAAUUAACCUAACCUUUUUAGACUGAGUGGAGGCCAGAGACCGGGGAGGACAGGCCUCUUGCUGUGAGGCAACAGUGCUAACCACUGCCGUUUUGUAAUGUUAUUUUUUUAUUCUUUGAUAAAAUAGUUCCUUAUUUAAAUUUUUAAAUGUUGCCACUUUAGACUAUUAUGGGCAAAGUUGUAUCCAAUGUUGUGUUUAGACAAAGCAUAUUAAGGUCUAAAUACUAAUCAAUUACGCACCCCAUAUUGACAAUGCUAUCACUACUGGAAGGAGCCCUAAUAUUACGUCUUACCACUCAACAUACAGCACAAAGUCAGAGAAAGGGGAAGGUGUGUGCAUCUCAACAUGAAUACAGAGAUCAUGAGAGAAAUCUGAAACCUUUCGAACAGAUGACAAAACGAGAAAAAAAAAAACAGAACACGUACUUACUAUUCUUUCUUUGCUUGAACAUCUGGCUUUUGUCUGAAAUAAAUAAAAGAGCAAGAUGA